rnacentral:rRNA from 1 species
UACGUAGGCACCAAGCGUUGUCCGGAUUUAUUGGGCGUAAAGAGCUCGUAGGCGGUUCGGUAAGUCCGCUGUGAAAGUCGGGGGCUCAACCCUCGGAAGCCGGUGGAUACUGUCGGGCUCGAGUACGGAAGAGGCGAGUGGAAUUCCUGGUGUAGCGGUGAAAUGCGCAGAUAUCAGGAGGAACACCUAUUGCGAAGGCAGCUCGCUGGGACGUUACUGACGCUGAGACGCGAAAGCGUGGGGAGCAAACAGG